UACGAAGGGUGCAAGCGUUAAUCGGAAUUACUGGGCGUAAAGGGUGCGUAGGCGGUUAUUUAAGUCUGCCGUGAAAUCCCCGGGCUCAACCUGGGAAUGGCGGUGGAUACUGGAUAGCUAGAGUGUGUCAGAGGAUGGUGGAAUUCCCGGUGUAGCGGUGAAAUGCGUAGAUAUCGAGAGGAACACCUGCGGCGAAGGCGGGUUGCUGGGCCGACACUGACGCUGAUGCGCGAAAGCCAGGGGAGCGAACGGG
rnacentral:rRNA from 1 species